GACCUUCCCGGGAAUGGCUGGGAAGAAGGGCCGAACGGGGUCAACUUG
ncrna:unclassified sequences gut-2 RNA